AACGAACGCUGGCGGCAGGCUUAACACAUGCAAGUCGAGCGCCCCGCAAGGGGAGCGGCAGACGGGUGAGUAACGCGUGGGAAUCUACCCAUCUCUACGGAAUAACGCAUGGAAACGUGUGCUAAUACCGUAUACGUCCUUCGGGAGAAAGAUUUAUCGGAGAUGGAUGAGCCCGCGUUGGAUUAGCUAGUUGGUGGGGUAAAGGCCUACCAAGGCGACGAUCCAUAGCUGGUCUGAGAGGAUGAUCAGCCACACUGGGACUGAGACACGGCCCAGACUCCUACGGGAGGCAGCAGUGGGGAAUAUUGGACAAUGGGCGCAAGCCUGAUCCAGCCAUGCCGCGUGAGUGAUGAAGGCCCCAGGGUUGUAAAGCUCUUUCACCGGUGAAGAUAAUGACGGUAACCGGAGAGGAAGCCCCGGCUAACUUCGUGCCAGCCGCCGCCGUAAUAC
rnacentral:rRNA from 1 species